ACCGGCUUUUUGGGAUUCGCUCCACCUUACGGUAUCGCAGCCCUCUGUACCGGCCAUUGUAGCAUGCGUGAAGCCCAAGACAUAAGGGGCAUGAUGAUUUGACGUCAUCCCCACCUUCCUCCGAGUUGACCCCGGCAGUCUCCCAUGAGUCCCCGGCAUAACCCGCUGGCAACAUAGGACGAGGGUUGCGCUCGUUGCGGGACUUAACCCAACAUCUCACGACACGAGCUGACGACAACCAUGCACCACCUGUGUACGAGUGUCCAAAGAGAACCCCGUCUCGGGGGCUUUCUCGUACAUGUCAAGCCUUGGUAAGGUUCUUCGCGUUGCAUCGAAUUAAUCCGCAUGCUCCGCCGCUUGUGCGGGCCCCCGUCAAUUCCUUUGAGUUUUAGCCUUGCGGCCGUACUCCCCAGGCGGGGCACUUAAUGCGUUAGCUGCGGCACGGAACUCGUGGAAUGAGCCCCACACCUAGUGCCCAACGUUUACGGCAUGGACUACCAGGGUAUCUAAUCCUGUUCGCUCCCCAUGCUUUCGCUCCUCAGCGUCAGUUGCGGCCCAGAGACCUGCCUUCGCCAUCGGUGUUCCUCCUGAUAUCUGCGCAUUCCACCGCUACACCAGGAAUUCCAGUCUCCCCUACCGCACUCUAGUCUGCCCGUACCCGAUGCAAGCCCGAGGUUGAGCCUCGGGAUUUCACACCAGACGCGACAGACCGCCUACGAGCUCUUUACGCCCAAUAAUUCCGGACAACGCUUGCGCCCUACGUAUUACCGCGGCUGCUGGCACGUAGUUAGCCGGCGCUUCUUCUGCAGGUACCGUCACUUGCGCUUCUUCCCUGCUGAAAGAGGUUUACAACCCGAAGGCCGUCAUCCCUCACGCGGCGUCGCUGCAUCAGGCUUGCGCCCAUUGUGCAAUAUUCCCCACUGCUGCCUCCCGUAGGAGUCUGGGCCGUGUCUCAGUCCCAGUGUGGCCGGUCGCCCUCUCAGGCCGGCUACCCGUCGACGCCUUGGUAGGCCAUCACCCCACCAACAAGCUGAUAGGCCGCGAGCCCAUCCCCCACCGAAAAACUUUCCAACCCACACCAUGCGAUGCGAGCUCAUAUCCGGUAUUAGACCCCGUUUCCAAGGCUUAUCCCGAAGUGGAGGGCAGGUUGCUCACGUGUUACUCACCCGUUCGCCACUGAUCCACCCAGCAAGCUGGGCUUCACCGUCGACUGCA
rnacentral:rRNA from 1 species